rnacentral:lncRNA from 1 species
GCUUCUGCAGAGGUCUUGCUGUGCUUCUGGUGCUGUAGGAAGUAUUACAUGGGCUCUUUGUUUCCUAAGAUGGAAACGGAGGAUGCUAGAUAGUGAGGACUUGACUCUAGUGAUUAGGUUUGUCGAGGCAUUCCAGGUAGAUGCUACAGAUUAACCGUAUAGUAAGAAGUUCAGGUCUGAGAGAUUUCUGUUCCAAGAAGAGGGAACUUAAGUUAUUGGUGGAACCUGUAGGUUGGCCUUAUUUCUCAUGCUAGUGGGCUAGGAUCGACCUACUUUAGUGAAUACAACUUAACCUCAAACAAUGAGCCAAAAGCGUGAUGGCUUGUACUUGGAGAAAAAACAAUCCUUCCUUGCCUUGGGAACUUUUCUCUAAGCUCAAGAAAUUAGCCAAGCCCCAUCACUUGCUUGCUUUUGCUCUCCUGUUGUACCAACAGUCAGCCCUCGAUCCCCUGCCUGGCCCAGUAUCACCUUCGUCCCACACACUUUCAACUGCGACUUUUUGUGUGUCCUGAGCCUCCUGGGACACGUGUCCACCAGGCCUAGGCUUGUGAGUGUGAAAUGGGGAAGGAGGCAGAACGGAGUCGCCAUCUAGUUACUUCCCUACAUUCCUGUUACUCCACACAGGUGAGGAUGCUUGGAGAGAUUCCCAGGGGAGGAGUGGGCAGCAGGCUGUGAGCCAGCGGUACUAACUAGUUCUGCUCCUCUGGCCAAUUGCCAGUCCUCAGGGAAGCCCUGCUCAAAUUAGAUCCAGCAGAGUCACCCUUAUCUAGAGCCCUUGGUAGACUUUGUAUAGCUUUCUCAUUAACAAGUGAGACAUCCGACCGGUGCCCAGGAAAUGUCACGGGAAUUUUGGGACUUCCUUUGUUUUCCCUAGCCCUUUUUAAUUUUUGUUAAAAACUUUACAGUGGAUCAAGAGAUUGUAGUGUGGGGACUACCAGUUCUGUCUGUGAUGUCAAGGUUUCUAUUAGGUUUCUGACAGAAAUGAAGAUAUUCUAAAGAGACACUUGUGCCCCCUCCCUUUGGCUAACAGACUAUUGAAACAAUGGUUCCCAAGGAAAUGGAAUUUUCUCUGGAGUCUCCUGCUGGUGAAAGAGAAAGGCUGGAAGGCAGAGAUUUUAUGCAGCUCUGGACGCUUGUCAGUCUUGCAGAAGAGACUGAAGCUUGACAGUGCUGCUGGGGGAUCACAUCUUGAGCAGAAUCUCUUAGUUCUACCUACCUCUUGCCCUCUAUUUAAAUGUAAACUUCCUCUGGCAGGACCCUGAAGAUGAGCUUGGGGUGACAGUCACUGGACUUCCUUUAUGUUCCUCUUCCUUCCCAGGGUGGCCACGUUGAAAUAAAUCUCCCUCCUCCGCUUUC